rnacentral:rRNA from 1 species
AGCAGCCGCGGUAAUUCCAGCUCCAAUAGCGUAUAUUAAAGUUGUUGCAGUUAAAAGCUCGUAGUUGAACCUUAGGCCCGUGCGGGCGGUCCGUCCUCUGGGCGAGCACUGCCUCGUCGCGGGUCUCACCUUCUGGCGAGCGCGGAUGCCAUUUAUUUGGUGUCCGCGGGAACCAGGACCUUUACCUUGAAAAAUUAGAGUGCUCAAAGCGGGCUCCGACGCUUGAAUACAUUAGCAUGGAAUAAUGAAAUAGGACGAUGGUUCUAUUUUGUUGGUUUCCGGGACCGUCGUAAUGAUUAAUAGGGAUAGUUGGGGGCAUUCGUAUUCAAUUGUCAGAGGUGAAAUUCUUGGAUUUAUUGAAGACGAAC